AUUACAGAGAGAAAAAACUUUACCAAACACAGGAUGAAUGAAAAGUAAGCAAGGGAACCAUUUUAAAGACAAAUCCCGCCUACUACUACUACUGCUACUACUACUACACUCGCUGGGUGUUCAACUUCAAAACUGUAAAGAACAAAGGUACAGCAACGCAAACAUCAUCACUCUCGAAAGUGCAAUGCUACUGAUCUGUUCUACGAGCACAAAACCAUAAAGAUCUCCAAGAAGAAUAGCUUCCCGCGUAAUAGUUAUAUAGAUCUACCGAUACCUAACAUAAACAAAAGAGGAAUAACAACAAGCAAGGGAGGAGCCGUUUCAAAGACAAACACCGCCUACUACUACUACUACACUCACGUGGACUGGCUGAGGUCAAAUUUAAAACAAUGAAAUCGUCUUGUCUCUGAAGAGCACUACUGCUGACCAUUUCUGCAAGCGCAAAAUCAUCACCAAGAAGAUUAAACGUGCUUUGGAAGACAAUUUCUUGCGACCUCUUAUGGUGGAAGUGAUGCAACCUCUUAUGCUGGAAGUGAUGCGACCUCUUGUGAUGACAAUGACAAAAUUGGAAAGUAGGGUGCAAGAUCAGCAGAAUUCACUAGAAAUAAUGAUAGGUACCAUCGAACAUUUGAAACAAACUCAGGCUGCUGCACCCACUGGACCUGAUUUAUCCUUGCUGGACGGAUUGCUACCAAUACAAAGAUAUGUAGACUUUGAGGACUUUGAACAACAGAUAAAUGGGGACAGUGCCCUUAGAAAGUCACUGGUACAUCGACUCCAGAAUCUUGGGGGAGCAACCGUCAAAGCAGCAGUCAAAACCAUGAUUGACUUCUGCAUGACAAGUGGACUCCAGUAUGAGUUCAACUGGGAAGGUCGUCUUGGCUGAACAUGAAAACAAAUACAUGCAAGAAAGGGUUCGAGAACACGACAUUGUGUGGAAUUAUAAUAAAUAUUCUGGUGAACAAGACACAAUUAUCAACUGAUGAAACUGAAGUAGGGAAAACUAUGAUGAUUUAUCUAAAAAAUGCAUGUGACAGAUACGUGGGAAGGAAAAGACCAAAAGACUUGCACAGUCAGCAAAGUCAAGAUGAGAGUCCCAAUUCAUCUCAACCUAAUUCUGGUUGGGAUCCUGAAGGAAUAUAAUAUAGAGCACUUCUGCUGACUGUUGUCAAGGAAAUUAUAAAUAUUCAUGUAAUUUGUUUAUCAAUCAAAUUUAUCUUAUUAUUGUCAGUCUCUUUUGAUUAGAUUUUUAUAAUAUUUAAAUGAAUAAUUUUUAUUAUAUUUAAAUGAAUAAUUUGAUGUAGAGAAGUAUCAUUCUUUUCUGUCUAAUGUUUGUUGUGACUUCAUGCAAGAUGCUACAUCCAUUUAUCUAGUACAUACAGUGCUGUACUUUAUGAAUGGCAAUUUGUGUUCCUGCAUUACUUUUUUUUUUUUAAAUUAAAUGGAUGUACCAUCUUGCACGAAGUCACAACAAACACUUAGACAGAAAUCCAUGAAUAUUUAUCAUUUCCUUGACUGUAUCAUCAGCUAGUUUUUGUAAAAUAUUGUAUAUAGAAAUCAGAUAUAUUAAACAAUUAAGGAGAGUUUAUGUAGUAUGUAGUGAGAUAUAGAGAAUGCAGUAUAUAUAUGGUACUAGUUACUGCAACUGUUUUGUUAACCAUUUUUUGCCUUCGAAUAAAAAUUUAAUUGUGACUAUGUAUUUUGAUGUUA